rnacentral:rRNA from 1 species
UACGUAGGUGGCAAGCGUUGUCCGGAUUUACUGGGCGUAAAGAGCGCGCAGGCGGUCGUUCAAGUCGCGUGUGAAAGCCCCCGGCUCAACCGCGGAUUGUCGUUGGAAACUGCCUCGCUAGAGUCCGGAAGAGAAGAGCGGAAUUCCACGUGUAGCGGUGAAAUGCGUAGAGAUGUGGAGGAACACCAGUGGCGAAGGCGGCUCUUUGGUCUGUAACUGACGCUGAGGCGCGAAAGCGUGGGGAGCAAACAGG